rnacentral:rRNA from 1 species
GAAAUAAUCUGUCUUAAUUAAAGAUAUUGAAUUUAACUUUUGAGUGAAAAGGCUUAAAUGAUCUGAAGGGACGAUAAGACCCUAUAAAACUUUAUAUUUAGGGGUAGAAAUUAGUUUUAUUUAAAGGUUACUAUUUUUAUAAUAUUUGGUUGGGGCGACAGGGAUARAAAAAAARUUAACUGUCCUUUUUUUUUUACAAUAAUAUUUGAUUGAAUGAUCCUAAAAUGGAUUAAAGAUUAAGUUACUUUAGGGAUAACAGCGUAAUUUUCUUUAAGAGUUCUUAUCGACAGGAAAGUUUGCGACCUCGAUGUUGAAUUAAAGGUUCUUUAUAGAGUAGAAGCUAUAAUAGAAGGUCUGUUCGACCUU